rnacentral:rRNA from 1 species
ACUGCUGUCAGAUUAGCCUGCAUGUCCAAGUACAUACCGUUGAACGGUGAAACCGCGAAUGGCUCAUUAAAUCAGAUAUGGUUCAUUGGAUUGUACCUACUACAUGGAUAACUGUGGUAAUUCUAGAGCUAAUACAUGCCACUAUGCCCUGACCCGCAAGGGAAUGGGUGGAUUUAUUAGAACAGAACCAACCGGUUGUGAUUUCGGUCGCUUCCGUCUUGAUCUGUGAUGACUCUGGAUAACUUUACUGAUCGCAGUCGGCCUUGUGUCGGCGACGAAUCUUUCAAAUGUCUGCCCUAUCAAUUUACGAUGGUAGGUGACCUGCCUACAAUGGUGAUAACGGGUAACGGGGAAUCAGGGUUCGAUUCCGGAGAGGGAGCCUGAGAAACGGCUACCACAUCCAAGGAAGGCAGCAGGCGCGCAAAUUACCCAAUCCCGGCACGGGGAGGUAGUGACGAAAAAUACGGAUACGGGACUCAAAAGAGGCUCCGUAAUUCGAAUGAGUACAAUUUAAAUCCUUUAACGAGGACCUACUGGAGGGCAAGUCUGGUGCCAGCAGCCGCGGUAACUCCAGCUCCAGAAGCGUAUAUUAAAGUUGUUGCAGUUAAAAAGCUCGUAGUUGGAUCUCGGUCGCAUGGCUACGUGCCGUCACUUGUAGACCUGGUUUGACUAACGUUGGGUCAGGUUUGUGAGUCGGUUUCGUGGCUGUGUAGCCUUUCUGCCGUGUCUGUUUCGACAGGUGCUGAUGGUUCGCCCGUUAGCAUGCUUCCAGAUGCCUUUAAUCGGGUGUCGGGGGCGGACGGCACGUUUACUUUGAACAAAUUUGAGUGCUCAAAGCAGGCUUAUGCCUGAAAAUUCUUGCAUGGAAUAAUGGAAUAGGACUUCGGUUCUAUUUUGUUGGUUUUCGGAUCCGAAGUAAUGAUUAAGAGGGACAGACGGGGGCAUUUGUAUGGCGGCGUUAGAGGUGAAAUUCUUGGAUCGUCGCCAGACAGCCGCAGCGAAAGC